UACGGAGGGUGCAAGCGUUAUCCGGAUUUACUGGGUUUAAAGGGUGUGUAGGCGGGCUUUUAAGUCAGUGGUGAAAUCUCCGGGCUCAACCCGGAAACUGCCAUUGAUACUAUUAGUCUUGAAUUCUGUUGAGGUAGGCGGAAUAAGUCAUGUAGCGGUGAAAUGCUUAGAUAUGACUUAGAACACCAAUUGCGAAGGCAGCUUGCUAAACAGAUAUUGACGCUGAAGUGCGAAAGCCAGGGGAGCGAACGGG
rnacentral:rRNA from 1 species